GCUGGGCAUGGUGGCGCAUGCCUGUAACCAGCAGCUUGGGAGGCUGAGGCAGGAGGAUCGUGAGUUCAAAGCCAGCCUCAGCAAUGGUGAGGCCCUAAGCAACUCAGUGAGACUCUGUCUCUA
rnacentral:sRNA from 1 species